GCGAGUUCUUCAUUCCAUGAUACGCUGCGUUUUGGACAUUCUCUCUGUAGUCUGUACCGAAAUGCCAUCCUCUCCGUCACCGAGAAAGGAAUCGAUCUUCAUUAUCGAAAUCGACACAGAACCCAAACUCUGUCGCUCACACUAGCCGGAGACACGCCGAACACCUUUAAACCCUAUCAAUGGCGUACCAAAUCCCUAACGAUCUCAUCAAACAACUUCAGAUCUCACUUCGAAAUGAAGCCAAACUCUCCUCCUACGACCCUCACGAUUCUUCACUUCCUAAUCUACCGUCGCUCCAUGAAACAAUUGCUAAGCUCGACCCUUCGCCGCCUUAUCUUCGUUGCAAGCACUGCAAAGGAAGAUUGCUUAGAGAUUUGAAGUCAUUUAUUUGCGUUUUGUGCGGCAAGGAACAGAACACGGAGGUCCCUCCAGACCCGAUUAAUUUCAAGAAUACCAUCGCUUGUCGUUGGCUGCUUGAGUCCUUGGACUUGGAUGGAUCGGAGAUGGUGGGGCAUAUGGAUUUGAAGGAAUCGAACCGAGGAAAAUCAGCUGAGGAGUUUCCCCUCACUGAUCUUCUAGAUUUAAAGAUCAGGUGGCCUGAAUCUGAGAAAAGGGGGCUCUCAGACAAUACUCUGGCUCCAAGUAAAAGUACCUUGAAUUUGGCUGAAGUUGAUCUUGACAACUACUUUUCUGAGGAAAACAAAGACGCUACCACAAAAGUAUCUGAUGAGCCACUGAAUCAACAAAUUGAUGGUUCUGAAAGCAAAACUUUUCAGGACAAUGUAGAUCUUAGUUUGUUUGGAAAUGUUCAAUCUUCUGAGACAGCGACAAGGAUCAAUGAACAUGAGAGUAGCGAUUCCUUUUCUGGUUGGGAGGCAAACUUUCAGACUGUUAACUCUGCAACUUCUCAUAAUAAUUCUAAAUCAGUUGAUCCUUUUGCUAUUUCUGGGGUCGAUAUUUCUUACUCUUUGGAACUAACAUCUGGACACCAGAACAAGUAUAGAAGUGGAGAAAUAGAAGAAACAAAAAACCCCUCUUCAUCAAUGACCAGUGAUUGGUUUCAACAACAAGAUGAUUUAUGGAGUAGUUCAAACCAUGAAACCAUUUGCACGCCUGAACAGGUCAACCAAACUGGAUUUGAUGGAAAAACUGUAGGGACUGCAGAUUAUUCUUCAUCAGCAAGUGUUGAUUGGUUUCAAGAUGAUCAGUGGCAAGGAGGGAGCAAAAAGAAGCCUGAUGAUAAUAGUGAUUUCAAGGAUGACGACUCAGCGGAUGCUUGGGAUGAUUUUACUAGCUCAACCGGCAUGCAAGGCUCUUUGGAUAAUUUUGGGAAAGAUAUUGUUAAUAACAUUGUGCCAAAAGUCGCUGAAAUAUCAGAAAUAGAUUUCUUCGGCACAACGACCUCAAAGGAUAUUAAUUUUGGAAACUUUUCUCAGCCAAAUUUAUUUGUGGAAGCCUUCCCCAAUUUGAAUGGUACAUCAGAAGAAAAGGCAACGCGGCCCGAUGCUUCUGAUUUAAGCAGGAUGAGUGAAGAGAACGGGAAAAGUGGAGAAAAUUCCAAAGCUACGAAGGAAAUUCAGGCUUCAUCCGCUCCAAGUUCAAAUUUAGAUGAUGUACAGAUGAUGAUGGCGAAGAUGCACGACCUUUCUUUUAUGCUCGAAAGCCAUCUUUCAAUCCCACCAAAGUGAUGCAUCUUUAGUUCUUCUUCUGAAGAGUACGCGCUGCCACUGAGCUUUUCAUACAUUCGACACAAGUAUACAAACAAGAAAGCCAAAGCACUGGAUUUGAAUAGGGUGGACCAUGGAAGCCCAUAGCUUCCCUUUGCAAACAUCCCCUUCAAAAUUGGCCAGAAGCACAAAACCAACCACACACUGCAUGUCACCUCACCCACCCCAAACUCUUGACGGCCGGGCUGUGUUCCCAAGAAACCGAUUGAAAGUGCCGCUAGUUGAAUCAUCAUAAUGGUUGUGAUUGGCACAAACAUUGGGGACUCAUCAAAUGUGAACCGACCCAAAUCUCUAUCACUACUCUCUGUGUCAUCACUAGAAGAAGCUGACU